rnacentral:rRNA from 1 species
AUUGAACGCUGGCGGCAGGCCUAACACAUGCAAGUCGAACGAGUGGCGGACGGGUGAGUAAUGUCUGGGAAACUGCCUGAUGGAGGGGGAUAACUACUGGAAACGGUAGCUAAUACCGCAUACCAUCGGAUGUGCCCAGAUGGGAUUAGCUAGUAGGUGGGGUAAAGGCUCACCUAGGCGACGACCCCUAGCUGGUCUGAGAGGAUGACCAGCAACACUGGAACUGGGACACGGUCCAGACUCCUACGGGGGGAAGCAGAGGGGAAUAUUGCACAAUGGGCGCAAGCCUGAUGCAGAAAUGCCGGGGGGAUGAAGAAGGCCUUCGGGUUGUAAAGUACGUUCAGCGGGGAGGCGGUACCCGAAGAAGAAGCACCGGCUAACUCCGUGCCAGCAGCCGCGGUAAUAC